UACAGAGGUCUCAAGCGUUGUUCGGAUUCAUUGGGCGUAAAGGGUGCGUAGGUGGCGCCGUAAGUCGGGUGUGAAAUUUCGGAGCUUAACUCCGAAACUGCAUUCGAUACUGCGGUGCUUGAGGACUGGAGAGGAGACUGGAAUUCAUGGUGUAGCAGUGAAAUGCGUAGAGAUCAUGAGGAAGACCAGUGGCGAAGGCGGCUCACUGGCCCGAUACUGACGCUGAGGAGCGAAAGCGUGGGGAGCGAACAGG
rnacentral:rRNA from 1 species